rnacentral:lncRNA from 1 species
UCCCGGUUUGUAAUUCAAUUUUAUUAUUUAUUGGGUUAUAAAUGCAUUUUACAAAUUGGGCUUUUCCUAAAUGAUUUUUGGGUUUUAUUAGGGUACUGAAUUUUUAAUUUUUUAGGUUUCUUGUUGGUAUAAAGCUUAUGAGCAUCAUUUGUGUGUGUGUGUGUGUGUAUAUAUAUAUAAUUUUUUUUUAAUUAGAAAUUCGAGAGCAAUCGAGAAGAAAGGUACUUUUAUGUAUUUUUUGGAAACUUGAAACCAAAAAUGGAAUAUUAUUGAAUUAAUGAAUUUGAAACCAAAAACUCUCCAUCUAUUCUUUGCUUACCAGUUGAAUCUGCCUGCUUUACAUGGUCUCUAGCAGGAGUUGAGCAGCUAAUUGCUAAGAUUUGAAUGAAAGUGAGUUACGGGGUUGGAUUAAAAUUGAUCUGUUCAAUAGUAAUGUAAUUAGAAGCACGUGUCUUAGUUGCUUGUAUAUUGGGUUAAUGUUGGAAAAUUUACUUAAGAGGUUGUAAAAGAGUUAUGUGGAUCAAUCAAAAUGGUAGUUAGACCAAAAACCAUUAUGAUGCCUCUUCUUAACUACAAUCAGGGUAAAAAAGAUUAGUAAUUAUUGGACUGAUAUUGAUAUUAGAGAAGCUUGCAUCAGAGCUAUGAACUCAGAUUGCCCAUCAUGCUGUCAUGAAUUCAACAACCAUGUUGCUUUUAGAAACACUGCAUAACUCUGUACAAAUUGACUAGACGUAGAUCAACUUUUGAUGUUGAGUACUUUUGAUUAAUGUCAAAUUUGUAUUCAAGUUGCGCUCAAACGACUUGGUAUUGGAUUGUGUAUACUAGGAUUUUCU